rnacentral:rRNA from 1 species
UACAGAGGUCUCAAGCGUUGUUCGGAUUCAUUGGGCGUAAAGGGUGCGUAGGUGGCGCCGUAAGUCAGGUGUGAAAUCCCGGGGCUCAACCCCGGAACUGCACUUGAUACUGCGGUGCUCGAGUACUGGAGAGGAGAUUGGAAUUUACGGUGUAGCAGUGAAAUGCGUAGAGAUCAUGAGGAAGACCAGUGGCGAAGGCGGGUCUCUGGACAGUUCCUGACACUGAGACACGAAGGCCAGGGGAGCAAACGGG